ACGCAACUCACUCAAACUAUGUAGCUUAUUAAGAAUCAAGGUAUUUCAGAAACAUUGAAAAUCUUAGUGUAUAUUCUUCUCAAAAUAUAUACUCUCUUUUAAGUGUAUAUUUAAAUCUAGCUUUCAUUUGAGCCUUGGUUAUUCAAUUUUUUUUUAGUUUCUUUUAUUGAUCUUUAUUUAUAGUGAUAAUGAAAUUUUGAUUGUCA
rnacentral:misc_RNA from 1 species